GUUGAAGGAUUUGGAAAAUUCCGCUAAAGAGGGUGAAAGCCCCGUAGACGAAAUGCUGACAACACCUAGGAGGAUCCUGAGUACGGCGGAACACGAGAAAUUCCGUCGGAAUCCGCGGGGACCAUCCCGCAAGGCUAAAUACUCCCUAGUGACCGAUAGUGAACCAGUACCGUGAGGGAAAGGUGAAAAGCACCCCGGAAGGGGAGUGAAAUAGAUCCUGAAACCGUGUGCCUACAACAAGUCAAAGCUCGUUAAUGAGUGAUGGCGUGCCUUUUGUAGAAUGAACCGGCGAGUUACGAUUGCAUGCGAGGUUAAGUCGAAGAGACGGAGCCGCAGCGAAA
rnacentral:rRNA from 1 species